CAUUUUCUGGCUGGUAAAAAAUUCAGGGACUGCAAAGUCGUCCAAUUUUGGUUUCUUGCGGGUUGUGUCGGUGCAACUUGCAAGUGGUUUUUCUUUACACUUGGAGGCUUGUCGGUGCAUGCUUGCUUUUGUGUCGAAGAGAUUUGAAGUUUGGGUGUUGGAAAUUUAAGGCUUUCCUGUAAAGUAAUGAUUCAAGAUGGAGGCAAGAGACUUGGUUGUAGGUAUAUACAUGAGCAACUUAAUUUAAGUUUAUGUAUAUUGUCUUAUAGUGUGUUUUUAAUUUCCUUGUAUAUUAUAUGAGUUUCUUUUAUAUAGAGAAAUUGGGGACAACUUUAAACAAGUUCAUUGAUUUGUGCUUUAAUUAAUAAUCAAAUGUAUAUUAAAUAUGUUUUGAUUA